GGAAACAGUCUCUUAUGGAAACUGGGAAUCAUAUGAAGAAGAAUCCUAACCUCAAAGGAUCGUGGUGAGAAUCAAAUGAGAGGAUGUGCUUAGCACACAGGUGUCCAAGCAGCGAGAGCCCCAGCAUCCUGACCCCACAGCCUUUGUGGUUAACCACUGCUCACUGCUUUCCACUUGCUAGGAUGCCCCAGAAUAUUUGAAUCAGAGCCUCCAAAUGGAAAACAGACAGUGGAAGACUUCUGUACAAGUCCCCAGAAACCAGGCUGAGGAAGAGGGAGAAUCCGAAGCUGACUUCAGGAUUUUGAGCUUGGCUCACUGGGGGGAUGAAGUUGCUAGUAACAACAUGGAAAUGGCAAGAAGCAGGUUCAAGGGGAAUGUAUUAUCUUCAUCCUGGAACAUUGGACUACUGAGAUGCAAGUGGGCUUUCUGGGUGGAUUUUCUGGCAGGCGUUGGACUUCCAGAAAAUGAUUCUUUAAAGCUACAUGAAGACUAAGAGUGUGGGAAAUAAUUGAUCCCAUCUGGGUGAAUUCAAGUGUUUUCCUGGGUGAAGACUUUUGGGGGCAGAGAGCAAACUAGAAAACAGAAAACAGAAGUGGGUACUCAUGGGUUUGUGGAUGCGGCAUUCAGUUUUCUUGCCUGCAGAGUGGGUGCCUUGCUUUGUUCUUCCCAAGCUGCUGUUGAGGCUGCAUUAGGUCAGGAAUGGGAAAUUGCCGUGUAGAUUGUGCCCUUAGCUGUAGCGAGAGGCAGCAGAUAGCAGCGUCAACCCCAGUCUCUGAAAUGCUGAGCAGGACAGGAGAGGUACAAGUGAAGCGCCCCCUGUCUCUGUGUCAUAGCUGAGAAAUUAAUAAUUGUUCCCUCUUCGGGUUUGAACUGGCCUUUUGAAUAGGCUCUAAAUUUGUUCACAAUCGCCAAAGGAACGACACAAUAAAAACUGGAAUUUC
rnacentral:lncRNA from 1 species